rnacentral:rRNA from 1 species
GAUGAACGCUGGCGGCGUGCCUAAUACAUGCAAGUCGAGCGAACAGACGAGGAGCUUGCUCCUCUGACGUUAGCGGCGGACGGGUGAGUAACACGUGGAUAACCUACCUAUAGGACUGGGAUAACUUCGGGAAACCGGAGCUAAUACCGGAUAAUAUAUUGAACCGCAUAGUUCAAUAGUGAAAGACGGUUUUGCUGUCACUUAUAGAUGGAUCCGCGCCGCAUUAGCUAGUUGGUAAGGUAACGGCUUACCAAGGCAACGAUGCGUAGCCGACCUGAGAGGGUGAUCGGCCACACUGGAACUGAGACACGGUCCAGACUCCUACGGGAGGCAGCAGUAGGGAAUCUUCCGCAAUGGGCGAAAGCCUGACGGAGCAACGCCGCGUGAGUGAUGAAGGUCUUCGGAUCGUAAAACUCUGUUAUUAGGGAAGAACAAAUGUGUAAGUAACUAUGCACGUCUUGACGGUACCUAAUCAGAAAGCCACGGCUAACUACGUG